GUGGGGAAUUUUGGACAAUGGGGGAAACCCUGAUCCAGCAACGCUGCGUGAAGGAUGAAGGUCUUCGGAUUGUAAACUUCUUUUGUUCGGGACGAAUGCCCGCAAGGGUUUGACGGUACCGGAUGAAUAAGCCACGGCUAACUACGUGCCAGCAGCCGCGGUAAGACGUAGGUGGCGAGCGUUACUCGGAAUCACUAGGCGUAAAGCGCGUGUAGGCGGGUGCUUAAGUCUGCUGUAAAAUCUCCCGGCUCAACUGGGAGGGGUCAGCGGAUACUGGGCGUCUGGAGUGGGGCAGGGGUCACUGGAAUUCCAGGUGUAGCGGUGAAAUGCGUAGAUAUCUGGAGGAACACCAAUGGCGAAGGCAGGUGACUGGGCCUUUACUGACGCUAAGACGCGAAAGCUAGGGGAGCAAACAGGAUUAGAAACCCGAGUAGUCC
rnacentral:rRNA from 1 species